ensembl:lncRNA
CUCGGCUGUCACCCGCGUUCCUACCGACCUCGCGCCGCCAGCCGGUAGCGCCACUGAUCAGGCGGAGUUGGGAGAGGAUGGCCCGGCUGUGAGCGGGCAGUACCAGUGCUGGUGAAGGAACUGUGAAUUUGGGGCAGAAGGUCCCAGAGGGCUGAUCACACAGGUCAGUUUCCACAGUUAGCACACCAAACUGAAACACAUAGGCUCUCAGUUACGGGCACGGCACAGCGAUUUGCCAGUAUGUCUGCUGAGCAGCUGGAGCUGGCAUCAGCUGCCAAGGGCCUUGGUGGAGUUUGUUUUCAUGUGGGAGAACUGUGAGUGUAAGUAUUUUCUUCACCAGAACACUCACUACCUCAGUCAGCUGUCUACUGAUGGGCAUACCUUCCUGUGUGCUAAAGAGAAAGGGAGAGGUAUCUGGUUUUUCUUCUGUUUUUAUCUGCUUGGAAUAUGUUUAGAAGUUGUGGGUACUUUGGUGAAGGAAAGCAAAAGUACUCUGGGUAAUUGAAGCAGAAUUGACUCAAAUUUCAAGCUGUUAGUGUUCUGAACAGAUUGUUAUCUGUUCGAGAAUGAAAUUAAGUUACUGAUGAACAAUCCUUUUCAUUAAGCCUCAACUAAGUUUUCUUCUGAAAGGUAUUCAUAAUGAAAAAGAAUACUGAAAGAGUCUAAAUGCGGUGAUAGCUUAUUCACCAAACUGACAGAUGCGGGUUAUUAAUUAAUGUAUCUUUCGUAAGUUAUUUGUAUUGCCACUAAGCAAUUUCUGCAGGUUUAAAUUCAGAACAAAUGUUUGUUUGCCAGAACUGUCCCAAGCAUUUUGCCAAUGAAAGGCUGCUGUGUCCCCACGUGAGGGGACGUGGUAAGUGAGAGCUUUUUAAAAUAAAUCAUGGUUUUCUCAAGCUCACCUUACGCAGGAGAGCUUUUGUAUUGUUAUAUCAAGUAGGAAAAUUAAUAGACAGAACUAGGGCAACUGAGUUACAAACAGUGGAAAGUAAGAAUUUCACUGCCAGUCCCUCUGAAGCAUAGGAGCUCCCUUCUCCGUGCUUUCUGAUCAAGAAGCUUAAGGGACUUUUCAGUGUGAGCUUUUCUAUUUUGCAGUAGCUCCCUGAGCAGAUGCUUAUUCUUCAUUUGCAUCUUUGUUUCUUUGCUUUCACAACGGGCAGAAUGGUUAAAGCCAAAGCAGUGUCUUAGCUUGGGCUGCAACUCUGCUCGCUUUGCAGCACAUCAUCAGCUUCACUCAAAUGGAACAGUCCUUCCCUGACCUAACCACAAUCUGCCCAAGGUCCCCAAAUUAUUCCCACAAGUUAUACUACAACAGCUAUGACUUGCUGGGAAAGAAUCCUACAGCAGCUAAGCACAAGGAAACGUGAUUUUGCUCUUGGACAUACAGGAAAUGCAGAAGCCAAAAGGUGGGUGGGUCUUUGCUUUGGGAACAGGAAUAUUUGAGCCAUGUAGACAGACCUGGGUACCAGUUAUUUAGGUUGUAUAAACAUAAAAUAGCUUUGUGCAGACUUGCUCAGUCACAGUAGAUUCUACUUUCUAGCUGCAUUCAUAAAGAAAACAUGGUUUUUCACUGUCUGCAAAUCAGUGCAUUGAUGUUUAACAAGUAUGCAUUUAAUUUGAUGCUUACAGUGAGCUACCAGGACUAAGCAUUUAAUUUGCAUUUGAAUUCUUUUAUACUUGACAUGCAUCUGAUUUAAUCUUAAUUUUUAUAUCUUAUUAUAUAUAUAUAAAUAUCUUAAUUUUUAUAUUUUAUGUUGUGAAAGUAGAGUGAUUUUUCUGUGUUUCUCAUACUAGUUUUAUUCUUUUGGCCAGAAAUUGGAAAGAAAUAUUUUUUAUUAUCUUUAUUAGCUGAUGAAGCAGUUGAAAUAUGCUGAGUUUUUGUUGUUUUUUUUUUAAUUAAAACAUAGCAUUUUGAAAUGGAGUUGAUAUAGAAAAUAAAGCGUGCGAUUAAUAGAACUGUUUGCUUCUGGUCCCUCUGGCUAUAUCUAAACCUUUGUGAACUAUACAAGGAGCCUGGCUAACCUCAUUCCCUGGUAACUCAGACUGUGUUCUGCUUGCGCAGCCAGGGAAAAUCACAGGGUUGCUAGACCUGGGAAGAAGGAUGAGGUGUUACUGUGUCAUGUCCCAGUAAGCCACUGUGAACCAGCUACAACGUGAACUCGGCUGAGGAAGCUGUGAAGCAAUUCUUGAUCCAACUGUUUAAGCACAACCUAAAUCCCUUCAGACAUUAGAGCCAGUUACUUUCUCAGUUCAUGAUUCAGCUUUCUUUACAAAUUCUGGCAGCAUACAUAUGCCAGUGCACAUUGCCAGUGCAGACAUGGCAUUUUCAGAUUCUUACACCGGUAUUUCGUAAUAGCUUGCUGGUAAUAGAUAAUUAUUGAAAUUUCCUUUAAAAGGGUUUGCCUACCUCUAAGAAAUUAGUGUGAAAUAAGUUGUUAUGCGAAUGCAAAUGCUGCAGGUAUCCUGAAAUUGCUCCCGACAUGGAAACAUUUACAUGCCAGGCAACCAGGUAAACUGUCAGAUACUGCUUUUUCAAGAGGCUGUUGAACAUCACCGAUUCAGUUUUAAAUACUGAGUUAUUCCAGACUAAUUUUACAAAAGUAGCUACUUAUUUUAGAAAGGAAAAGAAAAUUCCUCCUAGUUUAAGACAAACGAUGAGGAAAAGUGUCUGUGCAAGGAAUAAUUCCGGAGUAGUUAGAACAAGCCCUUCAUUUUUUACAUGACCACUUCACGUUUUUCACUGGCCACCUGUUAAGCGCUGAUCUGAUUGUAAAAUAAGGCAAUGUUUCAAGGCCUUCCAUAUAACAGAUUUUAUCUAAAUCCCAAACUUCUUUACUGAGACUCUUCCUACGACAUUCAUCAAGUUGCUGAUUCACUUGCAGCAAAGCAAGCACUUGUUCAGCUUAAGAUGUUACAGUCCUGCCUGCCAACCUGCUAGAGGUUCUCCUCUGUUCCAGAGUCAGCAGAGCCAACCUGUGCCUCAGCCAGUGCAGUUCAAAGUCUGUCAGCUUAGCAACCACCUACCAUUAUUAUGCCUUAAGCAAAAAUAUCCGAAUGUGAAAUGGGGAGGCGGAGGACAGACACAUACUCCUUCUGCCACCUUAUAAAAGAGUGGUAAUACCUUAAACAUUAAAAGCAGAUUUGCCAGUGCUUGUCUGUCAAAAGGCCUCCAGACAACAUGCACCUUUUAGGAAUUCUCCCAAAGUGCUAAAGGCAAGACUAUAAUCAUCCUUCUGUUAGAGCCUAGAGAAUGAAAUGUGAUCCUCUACGCCUCUUUCCCUUACCUUUUUGGAAAGUAACUUCAAACACCAUGAGCUUAUAUAUGCAUGUAAAAGAUUAUAAGACUGACUGUUAUUCAGCUAUUCUCUCUAUUGUAUCUGCGUUCCAGUUUUACCUUAUUUCUUUCUCUGUACAUUUGAUUCCCAAAUUACUAUAAUGUUAUUUUUAAUAUGAGCUUUAUAUAUAUUUGUCAUAUGGACAGAGUAUCUUGAUGAAGCUGUGUUACAGAACUGAAAGCAUCUUCCUUUCUGUAGUUAACUCUGUUACGUCUCCGCUUUGUAAUAUGGUAUGCACAAAUGCCUUCUCACUGGAAACGCGCAUCUGAUUCCAACAGUGUAAUAAAUGUCCUUACCACUGUUACCUCUGUGUCAGCAGGGAAGAAAAUGUAAGGCUUGUAGCAACACCCUCAGCUAGCCCUGAGUGAGUGUCUUACAUAGGUGUUCAUAAAGAUAAGAAAACUUUUCAACUGCUAAAAUAGUCAUCUGUUCAAUUAAGAAAUCCAGUAGAUUUAUCUGCCGUUCAUCUGCCUUUGUAUGUUGAAAUGUUGUAGUUGAUGAACUUCCGGUGAAGUAGGAUUGAUGCGUUAAAGGUGACUUUUCUUGACAAAACUUUGUGCACUAUAAAAUGUUCAUCAGGACAAGUUGAGGUGUGCAGCACUAGUGCCUAAAACUGGGGUUUUGCCAUUCCCAAUGACCAGUGGCCAUUUCUUCAGAGAGUCUCAGUCUUCUCUUUUGAAUGAUUUUUCUAUCCGAGGUUCACCGUAACAUUUAAACUCUUGGUUACUGACUUUUCUAUGGUGGCUUCUUUUCUGCUUUCACAAUAUGAUGCCAAAGAGCAGAGAAAUUACAACCAACCAACCAAAAAAGUAGCACUGUGAUGUGAUAGACCAGAUUGCACAUGUAAGCUUAUGUAUAACUUUUUAUGUAUAACUUCUGCCAGAGAAAAUGAGAGAUCUUAUCUUCGUAUGCUGAGAGUGGGAUAAAGUGAACAAAUAUUUAAGUACUUUUGUGUUCACGUCGUGGGAGAGCAGAAGGAAAUAAUCUGAAUUUCUGGACCAAAAAUAAUGAAAUGACUGCUAAAUAGUGCAGAAGAAUAUUGUCGAUGUGAACGGAAAGGGAGUGUGAUGCCUUGCGCCAUUUUCCACAUUGGCUGUGGAAAAAUCUCCUAGAUUCAGGCAAGGUACGGACGUGUGGGAAGAAAGAGGGAAUGGAAAAUGAAAUAGAAAGCACAUCAAAGAGGUGUCUGUAUUUAUCCCCUUUUGGCAGGUGGAAAAACUGAGUUAGAGAAAUGAUUUACACAUAUUCCGCUUUCACUUGUCAUUUUCAGAGCCAAAAAUUACCACCUCCCAGUCCUAAACAUUAACCACAAGAGUACUUCUCUGUACUAUCCUAUCUGUUAUUUGUUUUACCUUGUUUUGAGUUUUAAGAAUGCCUAUGAUCUGCAUAAACGUGUUGAAACGCACAAUGAUUCAGAUGCCUACAGCUGCGAUGUUGAAGGAUGUGGUUUUACUUCAUGGACUUUACAAACCUGGAGACGGCAUGACAAGAGAGCACAUGUGGUUUUGUAUAAGAGAUUCAGAUAGUGAAUUAAAGGCUGUCUGAAGUUUGGUCCAGCUUUAGACAGACUGUGAACCACUAUGAAAUAAUCCACUUAGAUUUUGCUGUCACUGUGGAAAACCUAAUGUAAAAGUGGCUUAAAUCUUCUUGUCUUUAUAGCUUUUACUAUUGGGAAAGUCUUGCAAUUCCAGAGUCUUUUAAGAACAUUUAUUGACUUUUUAAUUGUCUCUACUGAGGAAAUAAACUGUGCAUAAAUAUAUCAACAGCUUCAAUAGUACAAACAAGCUGUACUCUCCAUUUUGGCACAAGAAAAUUCAGUAAAUAGAUGUAAUUACAAA